GGUUAAGUGAAUAAGGGCGCACGGUGGAUGCCUUGGCACUAGGAGCCGAUGAAGGACGGGACUAACACCGAUAUGCUUUGGGGAGCUGUAAGUAAGCUAUGAUCCAGAGAUUUCCGAAUGGGGGAACCCAAUAUCUUUUAUAGGAUAUUACUUUUCAGUGAAUACAUAGCUGAUUAGAGGUAGACGCAGAGAACUGAAACAUCUUAGUAUCUGCAGGAAGAGAAAGAAAAUUCGAUUCCCUGAGUAGCGGCGAGCGAAACGGGAAGAGCCCAAACCAACAAGCUUGCUUGUUGGGGUUGUAGGACUCCAAUAUGGUAGUCUGUUAGUAUAGUUGAAGGAUUUGGAAAAUUCCGCUAAAGAGGGUGAAAGCCCCGUAGACGAAAUGCUAACAACACCUAGGAGGAUCCUGAGUACGGCGGAACACGAGAAAUUCCGUCGGAAUCCGCGGGGACCAUCCCGCAAGGCUAAAUACUCCCUAGUGACCGAUAGUGAACCAGUACCGUGAGGGAAAGGUGAAAAGCACCCCGGAAGGGGAGUGAAAUAGAUCCUGAAACCGUGUGCCUACAACAAGUCAAAGCUCGUUAAUGAGUGAUGGCGUGCCUUUUGUAGAAUGAACCGGCGAGUUACGAUUGCAUGCGAGGUUAAGUCGAAGAGACGGAGCCGCAGCGAAAGCGAGUCUGAAUAGGGCGAAUGAGUAUGUAGUCGUAGACCCGAAACCAUGUGAUCUACCCAUGUCCAGGUUGAAGGUGCGGUAAAACGCACUGGAGGACCGAACCCACGUACGUUGAAAAGUGCGGGGAUGAGGUGUGGGUAGCGGAGAAAUUCCAAACGAACUUGGAGAUAGCUGGUUCUCUCCGAAAUAGCUUUAGGGCUAGCCUCGGAAUUGAGAAUGAUGGAGGUAGAGCACUGUUUGGACUAGGGGCCCAUCUCGGGUUACCGAAUUCAGAUAAACUCCGAAUGCCAUUCAUUUAUAUCCGGGAGUCAGACUGCGAGUGAUAAGAUCCGUAGUCGAAAGGGAAACAGCCCAGACCACCAGCUAAGGUCCCAAAAUAUAUGUUAAGUGGAAAAGGAUGUGGGGUUGCACAGACAACUAGGAUGUUGGCUUAGAAGCAGCCACCAUUUAAAGAGUGCGUAAUAGCUCACUAGUCGAGUGACCCUGCGCCGAAAAUGUACCGGGGCUAAACAUAUUACCGAAGCUGUGGACUACACCAUUAGGUGUAGUGGUAGGAGAGCGUUCUAAGGGCGUUGAAGGUCGAUCGUGAGGACGGCUGGAGCGCUUAGAAGUGAGAAUGCCGGUAUGAGUAGCGAAAGACAGGUGAGAAUCCUGUCCACCGUAUGACUAAGGUUUCCUGGGGAAGGCUCGUCCGCCCAGGGUUAGUCGGGACCUAAGCCGAGGCCGAUAGGCGUAGGCGAUGGACAACAGGUUGAUAUUCCUGUACCAGUUGUUUUUGUUUGAGCAAUGGAGGGACGCAGUAGGCUAAGGAAUGCAUGCGAUUGGAAGUGCAUGUCCAAGCAAUGAGUCUUGAGUAGAGUUAAAUGCUUUACUCUCUAAGGACAAGUUGUGACGGGGAGCGAAAUAAUAGUAGCGAAGUUCCUGAUGUCACACUGCCAAGAAAAGCUUCUAGUGAGAAAACAACUGCCCGUACCGUAAACCGACACAGGUAGUCGAGGAGAGUAUCCUAAGGUGAGCGAGCGAACUCUCGUUAAGGAACUCGGCAAAAUGACCCCGUAACUUCGGGAGAAGGGGUGCUGACUUCGGUCAGCCGCAGUGAAUAGGCCCAAGCGACUGUUUAUCAAAAACACAGGUCUCUGCAAAAUCGUAAGAUGAAGUAUAGGGGCUGACGCCUGCCCGGUGCUGGAAGGUUAAGAGGAUGGGUUAGCUUCGGCGAAGCUCAGAAUUGAAGCCCCAGUAAACGGCGGCCGUAACUAUAACGGUCCUAAGGUAGCGAAAUUCCUUGUCGGGUAAGUUCCGACCCGCACGAAAGGCGUAACGAUUUGGGCACUGUCUCAACGAGAGACUCGGUGAAAUUUUAGUACCUGUGAAGAUGCAGGUUACCCGCGACAGGACGGAAAGACCCCAUGGAGCUUUACUGUAGUUUGAUAUUGAGUGUUUGUACCACAUGUACAGGAUAGGUAGGAGCCGAUGAGACCGGAACGCUAGUUUCGGAGGAGGCGCUGGUGGGAUACUACCCUUGUGUUAUGAACCCUCUAACCCGCACCACUAAUCGUGGUGGGAGACAGUGUCAGAUGGGCAGUUUGACUGGGGCGGUCGCCUCCUAAAAGGUAACGGAGGCGCCCAAAGGUUCCCUCAGAAUGGUUGGAAAUCAUUCGAAGAGUGUAAAGGCAGAAGGGAGCUUGACUGCGAGACCUACAAGUCGAGCAGGGACGAAAGUCGGGCUUAGUGAUCCGGUGGUUCCGCAUGGAAGGGCCAUCGCUCAACGGAUAAAAGCUACCCUGGGGAUAACAGGCUUAUCUCCCCCAAGAGUCCACAUCGACGGGGAGGUUUGGCACCUCGAUGUCGGCUCGUCGCAUCCUGGGGCUGUAGUCGGUCCCAAGGGUUGGGCUGUUCGCCCAUUAAAGCGGCACGCGAGCUGGGUUCAGAACGUCGUGAGACAGUUCGGUCCCUAUCCGUCGCGGGCGUUGGAAAUUUGAGAGGAGCUGUCCUUAGUACGAGAGGACCGGGAUGGACUUACCGCUGGUGUACCAGUUGUUCUGCCAAGGGCAUUGCUGGGUAGCUAUGUAGGGAAGGGAUAAACGCUGAAAGCAUCUAAGUGUGAAGCCCACCUCAAGAUGAGAUUUCCCAUUUCUUUAAGAAAGUAAGACCCCUGAGAGAUGAUCAGGUAGAUAGGUUGGAAGUGGAAGGCUAGUGAUAGUUGGAGCGGACCAAUACUAAUCGGUCGAGGACUUAACCAA
rnacentral:rRNA from 1 species